AGUGAACGCUGGCGGUAGGCCUAACACAUGCAAGUCGAACGGCAGCACAGUAAGAGCUUGCUCUUACGGGUGGCGAGUGGCGGACGGGUGAGGAAUACAUCGGAAUCUACUUUUUCGUGGGGGAUAACGUAGGGAAACUUACGCUAAUACCGCAUACGACCUACGGUUGAAAGCAGGGGAUCUUCGGACCUUGCGCGAUUGAAUGAGCCGAUGUCGGAUUAGCUAGUUGGCGGGGUAAAGGCCCACCAAGGCGACGAUCCGUAGCUGGUCUGAGAGGAUGAUCAGCCACACUGGAACUGAGACACGGUCCAGACUCCUACGGGAGGCAGCAGUGGGGAAUAUUGGACAAUGGGCGCAAGACUGAUCCAGCCAUACCGCGUGGGUGGAGAAGGCCUUCGGGUUGUAAAGCCCUUUUGUUGGGAAAGAAAAGCAGCAGGUUAAUACCCCGCUGUUCUGACGGUACCAAAAGAAUAAGCACCGGCUAACUUCGUG
rnacentral:rRNA from 1 species